GAGGCCUAGAGGCUUGUUGGCUCUUUUCACCACAUGAGGACAUACCAGGAAAGCACCAUUUUUGAAGCCCACGGUGAUCAAAUAUUUAUCCCACAUUUGAAAUCAAAUCUGCUGAUGCCUUAAUCUUGGACUUCCCAGCUUCAGAACUGCCAACUCUGCCACCUCUGAGAUACAAGACCAGCCCCUUCUCUUCCUCCUCCUCCUUAGCCUACUCAGUGUGGAGAUGACACAGAUGUGACUUCCAUUUAAUGAAUAAGACACUUAUGGGACAGUUAAGAGCUUGGCAAGUAUCAGAAGGCCAGGAAAGAGUCUUUCUUCAUUGAAGGUCUCUGAUAAUGCCAGUGGAGUCUUGGAAUAUGGAACUUCCUCUGAAAUGAUGUAUGCCAAAGUCUGUGGAAGCAUGAAGGCGAAAAACACACUGGGAGAGAGGAUAAAAAGAAGAGCAGAACAAAAGUACCUCCUGUGUCUGCACUGCAGGCUCUCUGUGUCUUUAUAGAAUGGAUUUCCUGUUCAAUAAAUAAAGCGCUGGACACGGAACAUAUUGUGCAGAUAAACUGCUUAUAAUAAAUUUUAUAUUGUGGAAAUUUUUUAAAACAGAAAAUGCAGAUUUAGGAAAAAGUGGAGCUAAUCUUCAUUAAAAGAUUAAAAGAGGAACAAUAUUUUAAUAAAAAUGAUGUUUUGAAUAAAUUAGCCCAUAGUCCACAAUCUGAAAAUGGAAAGUAUUCUAGAACUUCAGAUUGUGGACUAUGGGCUAAUUUAUUCAAAAUUAAAUGCCAUGUCCCACAGAUGUCAUUAUUAAUUAAUUAAUUUCUCACUUAGUGGAAAUAAGUAAUUAAUAAUAACAUCUGUGGGACAUGAUAUUUGAGUGGCCACACAUUCUGGUAGCAAUGGGAAUCAAAUGAUAGGAUUCUAAUCCAGGUUUUGUCACUGACAUAGUGACCUCGGGCAAAAAUCCUUAGCAUUAUUGCCCUUGAGUUUUUAGUUAAUAUGGUAUAAUUCUAAAUUUCUCAAAUUUCAGAUUGAAUAUGAUGUGUGUGUGCGUGUGUGUGCGUGUGUGUGUGUGUUCCAUGUCACCUGCUCUUCUGUCUCUAACCCAUUGUUUCUCAUUCCUAGCUGCUCAUUAGAAUCACUUGGAUUAAAACUCACGGAUGCUUGAAAUUCAUCCAGAACAAUUAAAACUGAAUAAUAAGAUUGAUCUUAAAAGAUACAUUUUCACAAAAUCCUUUAUUAAGAGUCAACGUCUUCCCUCUUUUACAGGUGUGAUCAAGAAGCAUAAUCACAUGUUUUUAAGGAAUGCCAGUUUAUAACCAAUUUGAACUACUCGGUAGUUGUUAACUGAUUUUCUAACAUUUCAAACGAUGGUUUACUACCCUUGAAAAAACAGGAACUAGUAAGUCAUAUAUUGACCCCUCCACACCACCUUUAUUUCUGUAUACUCUAUUGCCUUUGCCCAUAAAAUAGAGAUUAGGUUAUUUAUGGUGUAUAUGUAAAUCUAUCAAGGAUUACACAGAUGUGAUUCUGUCUCAAAUUAUGAGUUGAAAAAGUUUUUGAUAUGACAAAAUAUGUAUAAAGUUAGCAGAGUGGAAGGAAAAAAGCAUAAUUAUGAAUUAUACACAUACUACUAUCAUUCAUGUAAAAUACUUAGAAAACAUCUGAGAAAAAUACAAUAAAAUGUAACAAUGAAUAUGAGAUUAUAAAUUUCUUUUUCUCUUUAUACUAUUAUUUGCUUUCCAUUUCUUUAGCAUGUGUGCAUAUUAUAUUUACAAAUAACACUUGAAUUUAAAAAAUAUAUAAUCUAAGUUCAAUGGAACACUCAUCUGAAAAACAUUUGGCUUAAUGCCAGAAUUUUCUUCAGGUUCAAAAAGAAGCCAAACUUCACAAUACACCUUCUUACUCUCUCUGUGUAAUUUUCUUUCAUACAUUCAUUGAAUGAGCUGCAGUUCAAUAGCUUUUGUGGUCUUCUUUUUCUCUCCACUUGGUGUGGUAUAAAAGAUAUUUCAAAAAAAUAAAUACAAGCAACUCAAUUGCUUGUUAAAUUUUAUGUUAAGGAUAUGUACUGAUCCAGCAAAAUUACCACAGACAGCCACACAUGCUGCUGAAAUGUAAGCUUCCCUGCCCACCUGUCUACAGGAAAAGCAAGUGGUGACUCAAAAUUGCUUUGCUCUUCUCUGACACUUCAGCUAGAAAACUAAGACCAAGGAACAGAAGUAUGCUAGGUUUUCCUUACACUCUUCUGUUUGCCUCAAGUAGAAGCGAAUCAUGAUAUGGAUUUAGAAUAAAUUAAAUACAGUCCAUUCAAGUAUCUGAAUGCACAGCUGGGAUUCAAAGGCUGUAGAUGCUACAUCUGUUGCUCUACCAGAAAGAUCUGUUAGUGAAUAGCUAGUGGUUUCAGCUGUAAGGAGUUCCGCAAUAUUACACCUCAAAUAUUAUGUAUAUUUUAGGUGAAUUUAAGCUUAAAGAAAAUAUCUUUUGCCCUUAAGGUGACAAAAUAGAUUUUUUUUGUUAUUCCCUUUCUCCCUCAGUUAUUUUCUGACAUCCGCAGCAGCAAAGGCGUUUUCAUAUACAAAAAAAAAAAGGCUAGUUUCUCUGACUUUACUUAGACUAGCAAAAAAGGGAAACCAAUACUUCCUUUUCCUCUAAAUAUCAGGAUUGGGAUUUGCUCUUCCAGUGGCUUUGCUUUUCUAUCAAGUAUCCCUCAUCAAACUGGUAGUAACAGCACCUGUUUUUAACCAAGGUGCUGGGCAUGAAACCUUCAUUUCUACUGAGGUUUUCCUCAGACUUAAAUACUUUGGCACUUUAAAAAGAAAUAGAUCAACAACCUCUGGAGACACAAGGCUUCUUUUGUUCUGUUGCUCUUUGUUCCUUUCCCUUUGUCCCUUCUGAGGACAUACAACAUCGUAGUGAUGUAAAGAACAGUUGCUAAAACUUGCUGAGAGGUCCAAGUAGCUAAGCAGGCUUGAAGAAUGUCGUCAUAGAUUCUCUUCCUCACCAGUCUUGUGACAAAUAUUUUCCUUUGGGUUGCUGUUUUCCACCAAAGGAUACUGAGCUACAGGGCAAUACUCUGAAGAAAGUAGUUAUUUUAUUCACCCUGAGUAUAUGCUCUAGUGAUGCAAUUUGUAGUCCAAUAAUUUAUGAAUUAGCACAGAUAUUAAUAUAGGGAGCAAUGUACUAUCCCAAAAAUUUAAAACCAGGAGUCUGUGCUGUAAAAUUAUAAUUAAAUGUUAUCUAAAUACAGGUUUAAAAAAACAGCAAUACACAGUUAAUCUAUGCUGUAGAAUUAUAAUUACGUGUUAUCUAAAUACAGUUAAAAAAAAAAAAAAAACAAGCAAUAUACAUCUAGGUGUCCUCAGCCUGAGGAGUGAAUGAAGGCUGGGGAAGGAGGAAGAGUAAAACAUAUGCUUACAUUGAAAGAGGAGGCAAAUAAGCCUAUCUUUUUCCUUCCUCCAAAUUUAAAUUAUCUUUUUUCUGACCAACUCAGUUACCAGAAUGAGGUCUUCAGUCUGCAUUAUACAUAAAUACAUAAUUUUAUUUCCCCAUAAGAGUUUCCCUACUUCCUGCUGAUGCACUGCAAUAUCUUUUUUUUAAUGGGAAUAAAAUCUUUCCCAUCCAUAUCUAGAAAUAAAAGCUUAGAAAACAUAUGUAGAUUUGAGCAAACAUUAACUAAAAAAUCAUUGCCACAGACUUUCUUUCAAGGUGCACAAAUGACUCAUGUCAGAUUGCUGUAUAGAACUCAGAAGGAAAGACCCUAAAGGAGUCCUUAUUGAGGGAGGAACAAAUGAGCUGCAAAGGGUCUGGUGGCAUUGAGGUCAUGAGUAGAUGAAUGACAUCAGAUCUCUGCUGAUUCUGGUAAGAGUGUGGGUACUAGCAAGCACAAAAGGUAAAAGGCUUUCUUCAUAAAGGAAUAGCUAGAGAAUGAACAAUUUUUAUGAUUUGGGAAUCCUGUACUUAGCUCCAACUCAGUAUGAAUAAGCAGAACCUGUGAUACCGUCUAAGCCAUGGAUUAUCCAGAGUUAUAGGACUCAUGCUAAUCAGCACUGCCACCAUAUCCUCACUGCCAAUCUCUCUUGCCUAGACUAUUGCAGUAGCCCUCCAAUUGGUCUUCAUCAUUAUUGUCCAUCUUGUGCUUCAACAUUGAAGCCACUUUUCUAAAAUGGAUACCUGAUAAGGAUGUUUUCAUGCUUAAAAUCUUUUAAUUUUCACUGAUUCAUAUAAAGAAUGAAACCCUGAGCAUUAUAUAGAUAGUGGUUCAGGCAGAAAUAUGUAACCUGUACCUAAUCAAGAGGAAAAAUUAGACAAACCCAAAAUGAGGACUAUUUUAUUAAAACAGUAGAAGAAAUGGGAAGACUUUAAAAAAAUUUCGGCUGGGCGUGGUGCCUCACGCCUGGAAUCCCAGCACUGUGGGAGGCUGAGGCAGGUGGAUCAUGAG
rnacentral:lncRNA from 1 species